rnacentral:rRNA from 1 species
UGAAAAAUUAGCGGAUGACUUGUGGCUGGGGGUGAAAGGCCAAUCAAACCGGGAGAUAGCUGGUUCUCCCCGAAAGCUAUUUAGGUAGCGCCUCGUGAAUUCAUCUUCGGGGGUAGAGCACUGUUUCGGCUAGGGGUCAUCCCGACUUACCAACCCGAUGCAAACUACGAAUACCGAAGAAUGUUAUCACGGGAGACACACGGCGGGUGCUAACGUCCGUCGUGAAGAGGG